rfam:Schistosoma curassoni strain Dakar, Senegal genome assembly, scaffold: SCTD_contig0019519
ACACUGCUGAAGAGUCCUGCAAUAGGGCGAAACAGCCGUCCAGUGC